AUGAUUCCUAACAAAUAAGGUUCUAGUGAAAAGCAGCCACUAGAGGUAACGGGGAAAGUCUGGUGUAAAUCCGGCACUGUCCCGCAGCUGUAAGCAAGGAAAAAACUUACCUUGUAAGUCAGAAUACCCGCCAAAAAAUCAACACAACA
rnacentral:ncRNA from 1 species